rnacentral:rRNA from 1 species
GAUGAACGCUGGCGGCGUGCCUAAUACAUGCAAGUCGAGCGAACAGAUGAGGAGCUUGCUCCUCUGACGUUAGCGGCGGACGGGUGAGUAACACGUGGAUAACCUACCUAUAAGACUGGGAUAACUUCGGGAAGCCGGAGCUAAUACCGGAUAAUAUAUUGAACCGCAUGGUCCAAUAGUGAAAGACGGUUUUGCUGUCACUUAUAGAUGGAUCCGCGCCGCAUUAGCUAGUUGGUAAGGUAACGGCUUACCAAGGCAACGAUGCGUAGCCGACCUGAGAGGGUGAUCGGCCACACUGGAACUGAGACACGGUCCAGACUCCUACGGGAGGCAGCAGUAGGGAAUCUUCCGCAAUGGGCGAAAGCCUGACGGAGCAACGCCGCGUGAGUGAUGAAGGUCUUCGGAUCGUAAAACUCUGUUAUUAGGGAAGAACAAAUGUGUAAGUAACUAUGCACGUCUUGACGGUACCUAAUCAGAAAGCCACGGCUAACUACGUG